ensembl:lncRNA
CCCUUCCCUUCCCUUCCCUUCCCUUCCCUUCCCUUCCCUCUCCUUCCCUUCACCCUUUUCUUCUCCCUUCUCCCUUCUCUUUUCCCUUCCCUUCCCUGUUGGUGCCAGACAGCACGCAGCAGAUGAUCCCUGGAGGGGUAUGCUCAGCACACACAAACAUGAUGUUUACUGGCUCUGGGAUGGAUCAGGGAGGGAUUUAGAGACUCCAAGCUUGGCUGUGUGGCUCAGAGAUCACCCUGCAACAGCUCUUCACGAGGCUUCUUGGUGGGAAGAGCCUCUGCGUAGGUUGGAGGAACUCCAGCUUGGGUAAAACAACACCUGUUCUUGGUGACCUGCUCAAAGCCGUUUCCCAGGGAUGCCAGCAGGGGUAGCUGGGGUUUGGAGCCUCCUCUCCUGGUUGCUGCCCUUCAUGCUGAGUGGGAUGGCUGCUGAUAUGGCACCUAUGGGGCAAACCAAAGCUCUGGCUGAUAAAACUAUGGUUUUCUAUUUUUUCUGAAGCUGGACCCCACUCCACCCCAAAUCCUUUAGCAGCAGGGAGUGCCUGGAGCUGUGGGGUUGGGCAGUGAUUCUCGCCUGGCUCCGCUGCAGGAUGGAAAUAGUACUCGUGGAAUUGAAAUUCUGGAGGGAAUGACAGGGACACAGCAGAGAAGCAGCUAAAACACCUCUCUAAUUGCUAAUCAAUACCUUAAAGAAAUGUUGCCCUAGCUGAAAUCUGCUCCCAGGGAAAAAAAAAAUAAAAAUCUACACGAUUUGUUCCAUGAUUGGAAUGAGAUUUUAUUGGUCUGGUUUCUGCUGUUUUGGGGGCAUUUUUCUUCUUGUUUUUUUGUUGUUUGUUUUUCUUGUCCCUCCACCCCAUUACACUCAGGUUUUAUGAAGUCAUCACCCAUUCGUCGGCUCAAAACCUCCGUGAGAAACUCUUGGCUCCGCAGACAGACCAACACUAAUCUUCUGUGUAAUUGAAUCAUCAUUGUGGAUAUUCUUUGGCUGCUUCGAAACAGUUCUGUUUCUCGAAUGCUGUCUACAGCGUGGCUCUUUAUUGAUGUGUUACGAGGAUUUCUGUCUUACUUUUAAAAAGAAAACAAAAAAUCCAGCACAGGCGUAUAGAGCAGAGUUUGCUGUCUCUCCAAGGACGAACAAUUAAGGAACAUGACCAAGGGGAAUUUUCCUGGGCUUGGCUGUUCUCAAUCUCCUCAACCACACAUUUGCAGUUCAGUGGGUCGAUGACCAUUCCUUGGGCUUCUCUCCAUCCCUCCGUGCUGGGAAGGAGAACACAUGGCUGCUCCCUUGUGCAAGGCCUUUGACAUGGUCUGACACCUCACGCUAAGUUGGAGAGAUGGAUUUGAAGGCUGGACUGUUGGUUGGAGGAGGACUUGGUUGGGUGGUCAUAAUCAGAGUCGUUAUCAAUGGCUCUAUGUGUGGGUGGAGGUUGGUGAGGAGUGGUGUCCCCCAGAGGUCCAUCCUGGGACUCGUGCUCUGCAGUGACAUAGACAGUGGAACCAAGUCCACCCACAGCAACUUUACUGAUGACAUCAAGCUGAGGGGUGCAGUUGAUACAACAGAAAGAAGGGACGCCAUCCAGAGGGACCUGGACAGGUUUGAGAAGUGGGCCCAAAAGAGCCAAAUGAGGUUCAGCAAGGCCAAGGUGUUCCACCUGGGUUGGGGCAAUCCUGGAUGUCUUCAGGUGCUAGGAAAAAAAAAAAUUCUUUACUCAGAGGGGUUGAGGUGCUGGCACUGCUGCCCAGAGCUGUGGGUUCCCCAUCCCUGGAGGUGCCAAAGGGCGUCCCUGGUCUGAUCUUGUGAGGGGCAUCCAGCGGGGGUUUGAGACUCAAUGGUUGUAGAGGUCCCUUCCAACCUAAACCAUUCCACGAUUCUAUGAUUCCCAUCCCUGUGGCUCCCAUUAACCUCUCCUAAAACACAGCUGCAACCCAAAGCAGGGCUUGUCCAGGACUGGGUGAUUCCAACACCAGUUCUCCUGCUUUGGGGACUGCUUCUGCAUAAGAAGAGAGCCCAGAUCCACAUGUUGUGCUGGGACACACAGACGGUUUGUGAUGGCUUGGAGAGAAGAGUGAGGAAGGAGCAGGGGGGGCUCGGGCUGAGCUGGGGCCCCAGGAGGGAUUUGUGGGAUCCUGCAAUUGCCUGAAUUCAUUUCAAUUAUUGGCGGCGCUUCUCUACAGCACUAAAUAAAGUAAAAUAAAUACAGAAAGCAGAAGGCAAUAUAAAGCAGUUAGAGAGGAUCAGUGGUGAACUGAAUAAUUCAUUCAGGAGAGAAAAAGAGCUAUUUGCUAUGUCAUUCUUAUCUUGAUUGUAUUUAUAGACAGGAACUUUUGACAAGGAAAUUACCUGUAAAUUCUUCUUCUUUUAUUUUUUUUAUCCAUCCAUCCAUCCAUCCAUCCAUCCAUCCAUCCAUCCAUCCAUCCAUUCAUCCCAGCAAAUAAUCAGCAGGAAGACUUAUUGCAGGGUUUAUUUUCUUCUUCCUGAGGCAGUUUGAUGGAAUUGUAUGAAGAACACAAAAUCUCACGACCUCACUCUGAGCCCAGGGAAAGCUGCUGCUGUGAUAGAAAGCGAGAUAACGUUGGGUGGGAACUCAGGAGGGUGAGCAGCAGCGUUCCCCAGUGCCUCCAAGCAGGGAUGGAAGUCACACAUUUGUGUUUCCUAAGCUGCUGUGCACUGUAUUCAGAGCAAAGGCUGAGACUAUGAUGCUGCUCUGAGCUUCUGCCUCUCACCAGUGUUGAUUUGGGGUCUGUCCUUGCAAAUGGGUGUUCUGCAGCUUUGGGGACGAUGAGCGACAGGAGAAGGACACACUGAGAGCCUCUGUGAGCACGGCUUCAGCACCUGCCAGAAGUGUCACUUUAUUCCUCAAGACUUUAUUUGGUGUGAAAGAUGGCUCAAGAAAAUAUGUAUCCCUACUGAGUUUAUUUGGCAGAGGGACACCGCGGGGCUACAGAAGUUUAUUUACUGCUCUCAUGCUGCAUAUUUGCUCUUUGUUUAUUGAUUGGGAGAGAGAUGGGGCCACAGGAGAGGGCUUUGCCCCCUGGUCCCCCCCAGAGGGGGUCAGCCCCCCAAGAACUGCCCAUGUGCUGAGAUCUGCUCCUGCUGCUGGUGCUUCAAUAGCAUCCAUCAAACCCACGGUGCAGUGGGCUGAGUUCUGUGUAGAGCAGCAGGGAUGGCUCUGCUGUCCUGGAGGCUCUUUGGGGUCACUCUUUGCUUUCUCACCCCACAACGCAACCCUGGAGAGACCUCACAGAAAUUCACCCUGGAGAAACCACUGUUCCUACAGAAGCCCUGCUUCUGCUUCCUAAUAGACAUCGAUGUAAUUUGUUUUCUGAGCAGCAUUGGGGAAAUGUGCAUUGCUCGCCGAACCUCCCAUUUGCAUUGAAGGAAGUCAUAAUUUGAGCGAAGCGUGAAACACUCACGGCAAACUUCUUGUCUCUGUGAGCGCACUGGAGCUCAGCCUCGUGUAUAAUUGAGUUGUUAUAAUGAAGUCUGGGUUUGGUUCUUCAAGAAGGAAUUUGUUUAGAAAAGAGACUCUCAACUUAAUUUAGAUUUCACGCUGUUUCUGAGCUGUUGCUGUCAGCGCUGUAGGUCUGGUGGGCCAAUUUGUCCCUGGGGUAAUUUUGGGGAUGUUGAGUGGUGCUGGGUUGGGAUGUGGCUCUCUGAGGAGCUGUAAUAUCCGGAGUCGGUCCCUGUGCAGCAAUCACAGUGCUGCGGAUGAUCCGAGCAGAGAUGGCAUCAGCCCCGAGCAGCGCUAUGCUGGGCUCUGACCCCGCCAGCUGCCAGGACCCUGAUGAUCUCCUGCCAACACCGCACAGCAACAGCCCGGGGCUGUUCUGUCCGAUGGACAUAGGGCUGGGAAAGGGCAGAGACAUCCCAGUUGGGCUAAUUCUGAGGUUCAUGGGAGAAAUGUGGGGGUGAAAGGCUCUGUCUCAUCACCUCCAUCCUAUCACGUCAGUUCCAUUACUUCUGUCCCAUCACCACCAUCUCAAUAUCUCCAUCCCAUCAUGUGCAUUCCAACGCCUUCAUUCUAUCACCUCUGUCCCAUCAUUUUCACCCUAUCACCUCCAUCCCACCAUCUGCAUCCCAACAUCACUGUCUCAUCACCUCCAUCCCACCACCUCUACCCCAACUCAUCCAUCCCAUCACCUGCAUCCUAUCACCUCCAUCCCAUCAUCUCCAUCCCAACACCUUCAUCCCACCAUCUCCAUUUCAUCACUUCUGUUCUACCACAUCAGUCCCAUCAUCUCUGUCCCAUCACCUCUGUCCCAACACCUCCAUCCCAUCGCCUCCAUCCCAUUGCCUUCAUCCCAUCACUUCCAUCCCAUCUCCUCUGUCCCAUCACCUCCAUCCUAUCACCUCCAGGCUCUUUUUGCUCUGCUCCCCUUUGAGGCAGUCCCUCUCCUGACGAGCAGCUGGUGAAUACUUUAGGGGCUCCAGAACGCAUUAACAUCUCUGAGCAAAUAUAAGAGCAACAAGCAAACAAGAUCCCUUUCCUUCUUCUGUGCGUUUUGGUUUUAAAUAUUACGUUUCCAGGGAUAAACGUUGGCAACACUUGAAAUAAAACGUAUUAAUUAAUGAACGAAGCACUUAAUUUAGGUUUAAUGGGAUAAUCCUUUCCUGCAUGUAACAUAAAUAGUAAUUGAAUAUUAAGAAUGCAUUGAGUGAGAAUUAACAACUGUGGGAGAGAGAGCUGCAUUUCACUGCGCUCUUGUUAAACGCGUGGCCCAGCCUGGGUCUCUGGUGUAGGAGAGCUGGAUUCAAAGGCUCUGAAAGUCAAUGGAGAAACUGCUCUGAAAUGGGUUUGCAAAGCAGGGUGAGAAAAUCAGGAUUAGGCUUUUGUUCUUGUGAGAUUCACUGCCUGACCCGGAGCUCAGCUGAACAGAGGGCCCUCUUCACAUCGACUUCCAGAGCAUUUGGAUCAUUCAGCAGCUGAAAUCUAGCCAUCAUCCUAAACACAGCUUUAGGAGGAAUAUAAUAAUGUGGGGGAAUUGGCAGGUAGGGAGGCAAGGGGUGCUUUGUUCCUUACCCAGGCAGUGCUGAGCGUUCUGUUCCCUCUCUGCUGCUGGGAGAUAGCAGAGCCCCGGCCGGCUGCAGGACACGGACAGGCAGGCAGGGAAGUGCUGGGGGCCGUGCUGGAAAAAGGAAAAAUAAAGAAAAAAGAGUGAGAAAAAGUGGACGUUUAACCCAUCUGGAGUCCUUUGCGACAAGCUAUUGGGAUUUCUGUUAUGUCAGGGUUGGAAAGCAGCAGACCAAGCAAGGAGACACCGGCAAUGGGCAGGAGGGGAUGGUGGCAUCUCGGCUGUGCAGCAGAGCUGCAGUAGCACUCCAUGGGCCAUAAGACCCCCCUGGUCACCCCUUCUCCUGCACCCCCAUCUAUGACAGCUGCAGGCAGUGCAGUCCUGCAUCCUGCCUCGUGCUCUGAGUUGAAUCUGCCACCUUUCUUUCAUUGUGGGAUUUAUUUGUUGCCGCUCGCUCAAUUACAUUAUUGCAAAUUGUGAGUGAUAAAACCCUUAAAUUACUUAUAGCUCAUCCUUGUUUAAGAGAAUAAUUAGUGUAUUUCUAAACAGGGAGCAAUUCUUCUCAAUGGGAAACUUAGACUUAAAGGAUGCUUUCCCUGUAACUUACGCUAUGUAAAUAAUUGAUCAUUGAUUACACAAGAGUUUUAUGCUGUCUAGCCCAAAGACUCUCCCUCCUUCUCACGCUACGCUGCAGCUCUCCUUGUGCUGAGGAUCUCUGCAGGCUGGAAGUGCUGCAGAUCCCAUCUGGGGGUCUGCUCAGGACCUUCCCCACAGUAGGGCAGAGAGCAACACAGUGUCCCCUGCAUUCUGGUUCCUAAAUGCUGGCAGCAAACCUGGGGUGCUCCUACUGUGUCCCUGUGCCGUGACCCACCUGCAUGGAAACCCAGAGCUCACGUUCGCUCAACCACAUCCCAGCCUGGCAGCCUCAUUGGAAUUCUGGAGUUGAUCACAGAGUUUCUCCAGCUUUUAUUUUAAUUAUUUUUUUCCCCUGGCCAGAAAAACUGCCUCAAACCUCCGGCGUUUGCCCGUGUCACUGAAACCCAUACGAGUGAUUUAUGCAGCCGGCAGCAGGGAGGUUAUUUAGCUAUUGUUUUAAAAGCAGGUGCAAGGGAGCAGGAAUGGAGACAUAUUUCAUCCGUGCCUCAGCCUCUGCCACCUGGGAGAGGCUGGGAGACAGGUAGGGAGAGCUGCUCCCGUCCGUCUCCUGGGCUGGGAGGAGCUGGAGCCGACAGCAAAUCUCAUGGCAGCGUUUGGACCAUCUCCAUGGCGCUGGGGAUGAUGUGCUGCACAUGGGGUUUGGUGGGAGGAAGCUGAGGGCCCCACAGCUGUGGGUCCCAGCAGGAGGAGCCUCUGCCCCUAUCCUUGCAGGAAACCCACGGCUGCUUUCUGUGCUGCGUGGUGAGGCAGAGCUGUGACUUCCAGCACAACCCAGUUCUCCCUCUACGUUAAUUAAACAGGACAGGAACACGG